rnacentral:lncRNA from 1 species
ACGAGGAAAUAAAAAGGAGCAAGUGCUCGGAACCUCGAAAGAAAAGAAAAAGUGAGACGAGAGGUAAAAAUGGACAAGUGUCCGACAGUAGAAUUAGGGGUGCAAGAUACCCACCUGAGAGAAAAGAAAAAGAAGAGCAUCUCAUUCUUCUCAUAAAGUUUCAAAAGCAAGGAAGGUAUGUAUCCCCUCAGAAGAGCAAAGUAGAAUUAGACUUUCACCACCAUUGUUUCCACCAUUGUUUUCACCAUUGUUGUCACCAUCAUCACCAUAUACCAUUCAUUCGCCACACAUGCACAUCUUGAUUAAACUUAUUGACUUGUUACUUUGGAUCCAUGGUUUGACUAUGCAAUACAUGUCUUGUAAGUAUGUAUAUCUUAUCUCCCAACUAUGAGCUCCAGAUAUUAAAGCCUUAUUAGAGUAGGAUGAGAGAGAAGGCAAUGUUACUAUGCCUCAUACCACAAAUACCACAUAUCUUGAGAGAAGGCAUAUACCAUCAAUGCCUUGGUAAGGAUCCAAAAAUACCACAAAAGAGAGACCUGAGAGAAUCAUACAAGGAAUUCUGAGUUUUAUUUGAAAAUCUGCAAAAAUCCCAGAGCUAUAGCUGAUCAAGAAUAAGAGACAUGGCACUUGGCUAGACUGUUCUAUCUUUUAACCACUCAAGACAGAAGUGACAGUUACAAGUCCCAUGGUGAAGGUAAAGUAAGUAAGUUUUAAGUCUUGACAGUUUACUCUAACUCAGAGAUGAGAUCUUAUUUAAGAGCAUGUGUACCGUCAAAUUUUUAAAGAUAUUGCAGCAACUUCUGAUCCAUAGCUGAGUCUAUCCUUGCUCAGGGACGAGCAAGAGGUAAGCUUGGGGGAGUUUGUUGACGGUCCUUAAGUAUCAAAUUUAAUUAUCAAAAAAAUAAAGAAAAGGAUCCAAAUGAAAUAAAGAUCUAGACUUAGGGUUUUAUCUGACAGAAUUCCACGAGUUUUGGUGUUUGUCUAUUUCUGCAGGGGGUUAUCAGGAAAUAUGGAAGAAAGGCCCACAUGUCAGGAUUACGUAAAGAUAUUAACAUGCUGUGCAAUUAUCUUACAUCUAGAAGACUCCAGAAGCCACGAGACCGAAGCGGAGGCGAAUCGGGGCCAGAGACAGGGCGCCCGCCCUGUCCAACUGGGCACCCGCCCUGCCCCUAAGUCCAAUCAGGACUCUGCUUUGCGGGAAGUCUCCACCGACCUAAAGGAUGAAUCUAAACCAUACAAUCUAUGUCGGUUUGAUCCAAGGGCCCAUAUUCACUUGAAGGGACUAUAAAACCAGACCCCCUGGCCCCUGGAGGGGAGAGCCUCUCAACCCUAAUUCAUUGUUCCAUCAAGGGAGAAGAAGCCUCUGAUCAAGAUUAGAGCCACCACAUCAAUUAGAUAUCUAGAUUAGCAUAGCUACAUAGGAUUAGAACUAGAAGGAGUCAAUCUUCGAUUGGUUUCCGGAUCUGUCAGGAGGAUUCUUGGUAAUUCUCUAAUUGUGCUUCUAAUUGCUUUCUAAUUAUCUUUGUUCUUCAAUAUUAUGAAUAUGACUUUGUUCUACUUCAAUAUAUUGCUUAUGACUUUGCUCUAUUUGCUUAUAUUCAAGAUUAUAUUGUUCUUAGUUUAUCAUAGUUAUGUACUUGGCUUAGUUAGAUACGAUCUAUAUACAUGCUUAGGAUCGUAUAGCGUUUAUCCAUCGGAUCCAUGGGUAAAAGAUAGAUAUUGUGUAGGCGUGGUGCUUAUACCGUAUUUAUCUGCGAUUGUACCCAAUAUGCCAGAUCGUGGGGUAGUUCGUGAUAGUGACAGCUUCAUUGAUUCUUAUAUAGUCCCCCUCUCGUGUAUUGGGCUGGCAGAGCAACAUUAUUACAGGGGAGUGAUUGCUAUGUUUCUCAUAUUCCUUGCUAAUAUCACUAUGCAUGGGCGUAGUCUUGUCUCGCAAUGAUUGCUAAGUAUGCUUGCACUAACUAUGAUAUGCUAGACUAUAUAGUUAAGAAUAACUUAGGGAAUAUUCUUGUAGUUCGUUCUAAUACCAUGCUAAUGACUUUCUAGAGUAUCUAAUUGAGGUGCUUAUCAUAUUUAUUAUGUGGCUAGAUCAGAUUAGUUAUCCUUGUCACUAUUAUCAUUUCAUAUAUCUAUUAUGUGACACUUAUCCCUGUAUGAAGAGUUAGAUAUAAUGUUCUCAAUUAUACAUGCAAUGAUAGAUGCUCAAUCUCAUAUUCUAUUCUGUAAUCAAUAGUGAUGAUUGAUUAAUCCCUUCCCAGUGGUAAAAAUAUAAAUAACGAUACCUGGAAUACUUCCCGGUUAAAAUGCUACAUCGGUAUUAAUCUGUGCGCUUGCAGAUCCCAUUCAUUAUUUAUUUAGAAGAGCAAUUGCAUAUUUCAAUACCGCGUCUCUCAUGUCAUGCUGGGGAUGACAACUUGGCUUAAGUGGUGUGAGGGAUAGGUUUGGCAUUUUUGGCACCGUUGCUAGAUUUAGAACUUAGUCUACUUUUGGUAAUGAUGUUAAGAAUACCCAACAGUGGGCACUCUGCUCAACAAACUUCCUGGCUAAGUUCUUUCCCAUGGGCAAGACCAAUGCUCUCCGUGGGAAGAUUACAUGUUUUCAGCAACAAAAUGAUGAAUCUGUUCCAGAAGCAUGGGAGCGCUUUCAAGACUACAUCCUAGAAUGUCCCCAUCAUGGAAUGGAGAGUUGGCUAUUGAUGCAGACAUUUUAUCAUGGGCUUGGCAACAGUGCCUGAGAAACCAUGGAUGCUGCAGCUGGAGGAGCAUUCUUAUCACUUACUAUACCACAAGCCAUAGCUCUUGUGGAGAAGAUGGCGUCCAACCAAAGCUGGAAUGAAGAGAGGACCCAGACACGCAAGAGAGGUGGAGGUAUGCAUCAGCUGAAGGAGGUAGACAUGCUGUCUGCUAAGCUAGACCUGCUCAUAAAGAAGCUCGACGAUAGAGCUGGAGAUAAGAAGGAAGUGAUGCACAUCUACGACUCUCACAUGACAUGUGAGGAGAGUGGAGACACUGGACACUCAGGCAACCACUGUCCUGAGAUGCUUGAGGAUGUGAACUACAUCAACAACAACAACUACAACUACUACAACCGUCCUCAACAAAAUCAUGGUUGGAAUCAACAGAGGCCUAACUACUCAGAGAGGAGAUCCAGGACGCCCCAUCAUCCCGAUCUCCAUCGGCAUGGUGGACGUCCCAGAAGCACUCUGUGACUUUGGCUCCAGCGUCAACAUUAUACCCAGGGUACUCUAUGAAAAAUUCUUUACAUAUCCUUUAUUAGAGACAACCAUGUGUUUGCAAUUUGCAGAUCAGACGAUAACUUUUCCAAAGGGAAUAUUGAAGAACCUUUGUGUCCGAGUUGGUACCUUGUAUGCCCCAGCAGACUUCGUAGUGGUAGAGACCGAAAAUGAUGAGAGGGCACCUAUCAUCUUAGGGAGGCCAUUCUUGAACACCACGGGAGCUAUCAUCUAUGCCAGUGCUACCAAGAUAAGUUUCUACAUCAAAGGGAGGAAGGAGACAUUUUUCUUCAGGAACAAGACUACACAAAUCCCAGAUCAAUCCAGACGUGAAUCAAGGAAGAGGACCAACAGGAGGAACAAGAACAAGAAAGUGUGGACCGAGUCAGCUAAGAUGGUCUCUGCAGUUCAUGGAGGCCAAGAUCAUCAAUUUAAGUCACCGUUUUUGACCAAGAAGGACGACCCAGGAAUGCCAAGCAUCUAUUGCUCCAUAAAUGGAUACAACUUCUACAAGACGUUUUGCGACACUGGAUCGGGCGUCAACAUAAUGGCCACAGUCACCUAUCGGCUCUUGUUCGGAACCAUACCACUAAAACCAACAUACAUUCAGCUCCAGAUGGCAGAUCAGAUGUUUCGAGUGGUUAAAGGAACAGUAACUGAUGUCCCUAUCAAAAUAGACGAUCAUUUUGUCUACACAGACUUUCAGGUUAUUGACAUGGGAGAAGAUGAAUACGAUCCACCCAUCAUCCUUGGAAGACCGUUCCUCAGCACCAUUAAAGCAAUCAUCUACAUUGGAACCGGAGAAGUCCAUAUGCACUUCCCCUCAGAGAAGGUACGACGUUAUUUUACUGACCCUAACUAUAUCGUUGAAGAAUCUAAGCAGGUAAGGAAACGACGCAACCGCAACCAGAGGAUGCAAAUCAUCAAGGAUGGAUGGGCAGACUACGAAGGAGAAGUUAUAAGGUCAGAAGACGUAGAGUUUAAACAGAAUUAUCCAGAGGAGACCGUAGCACCGAGUCAGGUAUGGAAAGAGAAGAUAACUAUACAUGAAGAGGAGGCGCCGCCGGAAGUACCGACUACGCCACUCAACGAAUCCCAGGACAAUUAAGAAAAUGGAGAGUCCCGUUCGGAGGAUUUUAAAACACCGAACGCCUUGCCAAGAGGUAAACUUGGUAGUUAUCCUUUCCCUUUCAAUUAUUUUAAACAGUUUGCUUAGUUAAUCAUGUUCACGUUAUCCUAAAAAGAAAAUAAAAAUGUGAAAAACAGUAAGCCCCAUGUGAAUAUACGAGUGGCAUGAAACCCAUAAGUACAUUCACUGUGGUGGCAUAAAAAUAAAAUAAAUAUUUUUCUGCUCUAUAAAAUAAAAAUAUAAAAACAGGGAGUAAUAAUUAUUAAGGAGUCUCAACAUGAUAAAGGCUAGAUAUUUAUGCUAACACUUAAUUAGUUCCAUAAGCUUUGCUGUCUAUUUGAGCUCCGCAAAAUUUAAGAAUCAAGAAGACUAGCAGACGGAGGACAUUCUAGACGCUGUCAGAAUGCUGCUGACUUUCAAAUACACCUCUGCCACCUGCUAGCUACAUCAAGAGAAAUUACGUCAAAAUUCAGCUUGGGGGAGAGCAUCCCCAUUUAUCCCGCUAAGUAUUUCUAUCUUUCUAUCUAUAUUUAUACUUAUACUAUAUUAAAAUACAUAAACUAAAACCAAAUAAAGAUUUUAUGCUUAUAUAUAUCUCUUUUGCUUAGUAUGUUUAAUAAAUAAAUAAAGUGGCUAUGCUAAUCUGUAUCUUAAUAAUAAAACUCAAGCAUGGUUAUAAUGAAUAGUUGCUCUGCCUAAUUUGCACAUUUUAAGUUCUCUCUCAAGUUUAGACAUAACUGUUAUAAUUUAAAGCUUGCUCUAGACCUAAACUUGUGGGAUGAAAACUUGAUUUGAAGUCUAAGUUGUUAACGGAUACGAUAUGGGAAGGUUGAGCUGCUAUUUAUCUGUCUAGAGAUGCUAGAAUUCUGGAGAAUUUUAUCUUUGAAAAUCUUUAAAAUGUUGCAUGCUGAGUUCCUGUAUGAUGAGAGUUUAAAUUCCUACCACAGCCAUAUAUACAUGCUUGCUAGAAUUUGAGCCACACAUUUACUAUUUACUGCUUAUGAGCAUUGAGUGUGGUCAAGCUGUGUAGACCCUUAGGAGCUUGUCAUGUGGUUAAAUCAAGAUUUCACUUGCACGUUCACUCAUAUAUGCUACUUCUAUUCUGGAAGUACCAUCCACAUAUAUCCAUCCAUUUCCAUCUCCAGAACCACCUAAAAAUAUUCUACUCCUAAUCCGAGAGAGAAUAAUCAAAAAUAUUUCUGUUUUUCCCUUGUGAAAUAAAUGCUCAAGUUAUCUUGUUACUACCACUUGCUAUAUUAUCUCAAGAGAUGAGUGCUCUAAAAAAAAGAAGAGAAAAAGAGAUACGAGGAAAUAAAAAGGAGCAAGAGCUCGGAACGUCGAAAGAAAAGAAAAGUGAGACGAGAGGUAAAAAUGGACAAGUGUGCGACAGUAGAAUUAGGGGUAUGAGAUACCCACCUGAGAGGAAAGAAAAUGAAGAGCAUCUCAUUCUCCUCACUAUUCAAAAAGCAUAGAAGGUAUAUAUCCCCUCAAAGAGCAAAAGUAGAAUUA